GGCGGGCUUGUUUACGGCCCGACUGCGCAGGCGUGCUCACCUGGCGCGCUCCACGCGGCGGGGCGUCCGCAGGCUCCUCCCCCUGCCGGGCGCGGCCUCGGCGCGACCCCAGAGACUCGCAGGUGUUGUGGUGCGAGACGGAUUGCCGGGGAGAGGACGUACAGAUACGUAGCAUCUGUGUUUGCUAGUCAAAUAUCUGCAUACCUAUAUGCGGGGCCCACAUGACCAUUCCCCUGGAUGAGUGCCCGGGAGCAGGAUCCCUGGGUCAGAGGCUUCAUGUGUUCUUCAUUUGACUGACACAGCCAGAUGGCCAUCUGGGACAGCUGCACCCGCUGACACACCCACCAGCAUCCUCGUAUUUCGCGUCCACUAGGUUGUCUCCUUACCAUAUCUGAAUUUUGAUGUGAUGAACAAUUCAGAAAGAAUCUAUAAAAUUAACCUGAAAUGAAGACAUACAAAUGACAACUCAAAUGUGUUUCAGCUGCUGUGAUGCAUUGCAUCUCAUUAUUGUAAUCAAGUUGUUUGUGCACUUCAUACAUCGGUGUAUACGUCUGUGCUCAUCGAUGGAAAUGUGCGGGAGCCUUAACUCAGGAACACUUUUUUCUGUGGCUGUUUUGCUGCCUCGGGGACAGUUUUGCCAACCGGACUUCAUCAGGAUAAGGUGCAUCAGAUAUGCAAAUUUGCACUCCAACAGACUGGGGUGAGGGCUUCCCAGGUGGCCCUAGUGGUAAAGAAUCCACCUGCCAAUGCAGGAGACAUGAGAUGCAAGUUCGAUCCCCGGUUUGGGAAGAUCCCCUGGAGAAGGAAAUGGCAACCCACUCCAGUAUUCUUACCUGGAGAAUCCCAUGGACAGAGGAGCUUGGUUAGCUACAGUCCAUGGGGUCGAAAAGAGUCAGACAGGACUGGAGCAACUUAGCAGGGCAGAGCACACUGGGAUGUAGAAAACACACGUUACCAGUCCACAUGGGUGGACUUGGCUAUUUGUCAUAUUGCUGCCGGUACUUGGCGAGGACACAGGAAUUCUGAUCAAGUUUAUUUCAUGUAUUUCUUAUCAAAAUGGAAAAAAAAAUGUGUGAUGUGUUUGUAAUUGUUUUCACUGCUUGCCAGAGUAUAUCCCUACCAGAGGAGACUUCUGUUCUGACAAAGUAUUGAUGAGAACUGAAUCCUCCUUUGACAUCUGGUAACUGGAAGAAUUUUCACCAGCAAACUCCUGGUUUUGUGUAUUUCUGACACGUCGUGUUUCUCCCCACGUCACACGUGCUUCCGUUGCCAGGCACAGUAGGACCCGUGGGAACUGCUGGUCCUAAACCCUUGACUCACUGGGUCUGAACCCCAGACUGCACAGAGAAGUGACCCAACCGCAUCCACACCACCCAGGAACCCAAACCAAGGGGACGCUCAGACGCGGGGCAGAGGGCGACAGCGGAAACGGAGGAGAAAGGGGUCGGGACCAUUCGUGUUGAUGUGGUUUGAAUGUUCAAAACCUACCAAAACGUGAGCACAUCACUAGGC
ensembl:lncRNA